rnacentral:ncRNA from 1 species
UUGGUCCUGGUUCACGACGCGCGCCGCGCGACGACCCAGCGCC